rnacentral:misc_RNA from 1 species
AACACUGUUAACCUGCGGUACCUGCGGAAGGAUCAUUAAAAAGAGUGUGUACCCCUCUGUAAAAUGAGUGGGUUACCUCCCGUCCUUUGUUGACCUCUUAGGAGGUUAUUUUGAACUUUCUGCUUCGGUGGGGUUAAACCUACCGGAACACCCUCAAAUUCUUAUCAUUUAAAAAUUGUUCAGUCUGAUUUUUGUUAAUAAAAACAAAAAACUUUUAACAAUGGAUCUCAGAUCGGAAGA